rnacentral:rRNA from 1 species
GAUGAACGCUGGCGGCGUGCCUAAUACAUGCAAGUCGAGCGAACAGACGAGGAGCUUGCUCCUCUGACGUUAGCGGCGGACGGGUGAGUAACACGUGGAUAACCUACCUAUAAGACUGGGAUAACUUCGGGAAACCGGAGCUAAUACCGGAUAAUAUAUUGAACCGCAUGGUUCAAUAGUGAAAGACGGUUUUGCUGUCACUUAUAGAUGGCUCCGCGCCGCAUUAGCUAGUUGGUAAGGUAACGGCUUACCAAGGCAACGAUGCGUAGCCGACCUGAGAGGGUGAUCGGCCACACUGGAACUGAGACACGGUCCAGAGGCCUACGGGAGGCAGCAGUAGGGAAUCUUCCGCAAUGGGCGAAAGCUUGACGGAGCAACGCCGCGUGAGUGAUGAAGGUCUUCGGAUCGUAAAACUCUGUUAUUAGGGAAGAACAAAUGUGUAAGUAACUAUGCACGUCUUGACGGUACCUAAUCAGAAAGCCACGGCUAACUACGUG